rnacentral:rRNA from 1 species
GAUGAACGCUGGCGGCGUGCCUAAUACAUGCAAGUCGAGCGAACAGACGAGGAGCUUGCUCCUCUGACGUUAGCGGCGGACGGGUGAGUAACACGUGGAUAACCUACCUAUAAGACUGGGAUAACUUCGGGAAACCGGAGCUAAUACCGGAUAAUAUAUUGAACCGCAUGGUUCAAUAGUGAAAGACGGUUUUGCUGUCACUUAUAGAUGGAUCCGCGCCGCAUUAGCUAGUUGGUAAGGUAACGGCUUACCAAGGCAACGAUGCGUAGCCGACCUGAGAGGGUGAUCGGCCACACGAGAACUGAGACACGGUCCAGACUCCUACGGGAGGCAGCAGUAGGGAAUCUUCCGCAAUGGGCGAAAGCUUGACGGAGCAACGCCGCGUGAGUGAUGAAGGUCUUCGGAGCGUAAAACUCUGUUAUUAGGGAAGAACAAAUGUGUAAGUAACUAUGCACGUCUUGACGGUACCUAAUCAGAAAGCCACGGCUAACUACGUG